UCAUGCAAAAGAGGAAAUCGGGCUUAGUCUCAUGCGAUGGAAGACAGUGUUUAGCCUUAUACAGUUGAGGAGCCAGGGCUUAGCCUCAUGCAAGAAGAGGAGAUAAUACUUAGUCUCAUGCGAUUGAAGAGGCAGUCUUAGCCUUAUGUAGAUUGGAGACAAUACUUAGUCUCAUGCAGGGGAAGGAAGUAUGGAGACAAUGCUUAGUCUCAUGCAUGGAAAGGCAGAGCUUAGCCUUAUGCAGCUGAAGAGGUAAGGCUUAGACUCAUGCAAGAAGAGUAGACAAUGCUUAGUUUCAUACAGGGAAUGGAAAUGCUUAGCCUUAUGAAGAAUGGAGACAAUGCUUUGUCUCAUGCAAGGAAAGGCAAUGCUUAGCCUUAUGCAGAAUAGAGAAAAUGCUUAGUCUCAUGUAGGGAAAGGAAGUGCUUUGCCUUAUGCAGAAUGGAGACAAUGCUUAGUCUCAUGCAGGGAAAGGUAGUGCUUAGCCUUAUUUAGUUGAGGAGGCGGGGCUUAGCCUAAUGAAAGAAGAGGAGACAAUUCUUAGUCUCAUGUAGGGAAAGGCAAUGCUUAGCCUUAUGCAGAAUGGAGACACUGCUUAGUCUCAUGCAAAGAAAGACAGUGCUUAGCCUUAUGCAGUUGAGGAGGUAGGGCUUAGCCUCAUGUAAGAAGAUGAGACAAUUCUUAGUCUCACGCGCUUGAGGAGGCAUGGCUUAGCCUCGUGCAGAAAUAGGAGAUAAUUCUUAGUCUUAUGCAAAGAAAAGGUUGUUGGAAACACGUUUCAAAUGCAAUAUACUAAACGUGUGUUCUUUUGUAGGUUUUGAU
rnacentral:lncRNA from 1 species